AAAGGUUUGGUCCUAACCCUAAAGUCAAUUUAUACUCAACUUACACAUGCAAGUCUCAGCACCCCUGUGAGAACGCCCUAAAAUCCCUACUUGGGAAAAGGAGCCGGUAUCAGGCUCACCUUCUAGCCCAAAACACCUAGCCAUGCCACAUCCUCAAGGAACUUCAGCAGUGACCAAUUUUGAAUAUAUGCGACAGCAAGAUUCAGUUAGAGUAUAGAGAGCCGGCAAAAUUGGUGCCAGCCGCCGCGGUUAUACCAAUCGACUCAAGUUGACUUCAAUCGGCGUAAAGCGUGAUUAAAGUUUUUACUCAAUUAAAGAUAAAAUCCCACUAAGCUGUAACACGCUUGUGUCUAAGAAAAUCAUAAACGAAAGUUACUUUAAUUAACCCCACUUGAAUUCACGAUAGUUAAGAUACAAACUGGGAUUAGAUACCCCACUAUGCUUAACCAUAAACUUUUAAUUACAAUCCAAACGCCAGAGAACUACGAGCAAAGCUUAAAACUCAAAGGACUUGACGGUACCCCAUAUCCACCUAGAGGAGCCUGUCCUAUAAUCGAUAACCCCCGCUUAACCUCACCAUUUUUAGCCUAUCAGUCUGUAUACCUCCGUCGUCAGCUUACCACGUGAGCGGAUCAUAGUAAGCCUAAUGCCCACACGCCAAUACGUCAGGUCAAGGUGCAGCUAACAAAAUGUGAAAGAGAUGGGCUACACUUUCUAAUUUAGAAAACACGAAAGACUUUAUGAAAUCUAGUUAGAAGGCGGAUUUAGCAGUAAAAAGAAACUAGAGAGUUCUUUUUAAUUUGGCACUGGGGUGUGUACACACCGCCCGUCACCCUCUUCAAAGCCCCCAUUUAAUAGUACUUAACUAAUUUUUAACCUAAGAAGAGGUAAGUCGUAACAUGGUAAGUAUACCGGAAGGUGUGCUUGGAAA
rnacentral:ncRNA from 1 species